GGCUCCUGCUACCUUCUGCGGGCGGAACGUGGGUGUCCCGGGAAGGGACGGACCCCAUCUCUACUAUGCCGCAAGCGCGUUGUGUCAACAGGCUGGCUGUGGACGGCCCGAUGAGCGUUACUUGAUUUUGUACUUUCGGCCACCUCCAAUUUUCUCAGAACGCAACAUAAGAAAAAAAAAAACUAACAGCAGUGUGUGCAGGAGAGCUUCGAAAAUAUGGGUGCUGAUGUUUGGUCACUGCUAUGGGGGAGGUCGCAGAGCUGAGAGUUGUCGGAGGACGUUUUCUGUCCUGUCUAGCUGUUCAACCCAGGGUCCAGACUUUUCAAGGGCUACUCUAUGGUAGUCCGAACUACUCACUGCUGACACUUGGCACCUAGUCUUCAUUCUGGGACCCCAGAGACAUUCUUCCCUGCUGUGACUAUGCUUGGGGAGGUGUGUCCACUGCCCGGCAUCUCAGCUUCACAAGAGGCCCCACAGGGGUCUCUCACUUGAAGGACAAGGGCCAGGGAGACCAUGUCAGUGGGAAUUACCUGUGAGGUCACGUGCUGCUGCUUCUAGUUCACUCUCUGACCUCUCCUGAAGAAGCCAAGCUGCAGAGAUGAGCUACAAAGGACAUUCUCAGAGCUGUCAAAAAGAAUCAGAGGAGAAAGGCUUCAAAGAAGACUGAGACCAGACCAGCUGCUUGGAAAAAGCAGAAGCCAGCUGAGCUGUCUGGAAGAAGUUUAGAUCAACUGAGGCACCUGGAAAGGACAAUCCACCUCCAACCUGCUGAGCUUCAUGAGUGCUGUGUGUUCCAGGUACCCAGCUUUGUGAGCUGUGGCCCAUGCUGGGGUAGGCUUUGGUGAUACUGCUGGUUUUGAGUCAUUUCUACUCCUGUAAGUAAUUCUUCAUCCAUACUCUUGUGCGUAACCCCAAUAAAACUCAUUGGUCCACCAAACUAG
ensembl:lincRNA 2210406O10Rik RIKEN cDNA 2210406O10 gene